rnacentral:rRNA from 1 species
CUCGUAGGCGGUUCAGUAAGUCGGGUGUGAAAACUCUAGGCUCAACCUGGAGAGGCCACCCGAUACUGCUGUGACUCGAGUACGGUAGGGGAGCGGGGAAUUCCUGGUGUAGCGGUGAAAUGCGCAGAUAUCAGGAGGAACACCAGUGGCGAAGGCGCCGCUCUGGGCCGUAACUGACGCUGAGGAGCGAUAGCGUGGGUAGCAAACA